AGUCGAACGGUGUCUUCGGACAUAGUGGCGCACGGGUGCGUAACACGUAUGCAACCUACCUUACAUUGGGGGAUAGCCUUUCGAAAGGGAGAUUAAUACCGCAUAAGACAGUAGCUGGGCAUCCAGCAGCUGUUAAAGAUUUAUCGAUGUAAGCUGGGCAUGCGUCCAAUUAGCUAGUUGGUGAGGUAACGGCUCACCAAAGCAAUGAUUGGUAGGGGAACUGAGAGGUCAAUCCCCCACACUGGCACUGAGAUACGGGCCAGACUCCUACGGGAGGCAGCAGUAGGGAAUAUUGGGCAAUGGACGCAAGUCUGACCCAGCCAUGCCGCGUGCAGGAUGAAGGCGUUAUGCGUUGUAAACUGCUUUUAUACAGGAAGAAACGACUCUUGCGAGAGGCAUUGACGGUACUGUAUGAAUAAGCACCGGCUAACUCCGUGCCAGCAGCCGCGGUAAUACGGAGGGUGCAAGCGUUGUCCGGAUUUAUUGGGUUUAAAGGGUGCGCAGGUGGUUUAUUAAGUCAGUGGUGAAAGACGGUCGCUCAACGAUUGCAGUGCCAUUGAAACUGGUAGACUUGAGUAAAGUAGAGGUGGGCGGAAUUGAUAGUGUAGCGGUGAAAUGCAUAGAUAUUAUCAAGAACUCCAAUUGCGUAGGCAGCUCACUUGGCUUUUACUGACACUCAUGCACGAAAGUGUGGGUAUCAAACAGGAUUAGAUACCCUGGUAGUCCACACUGUAAACGAUGAUAACUA
rnacentral:rRNA from 1 species